rnacentral:rRNA from 1 species
UGAGGAAUAUUGGUCAAUGGGCGCGAGCCUGAACCAGCCAAGUAGCGUGAAGGAUGAAGGUCCUAUGGAUUGUAAACUUCUUUUAUAGCAGAAUAAAGUGACCCACGUGUGGGUUUUUGUAUGUAUGCUAUGAAUAAGGAUCGGCUAACUCCGUGCCAGCAGCCGCGGUAAUACGGAGGAUCCGAGCGUUAUCCGGAUUUAUUGGGUUUAAAGGGUGCGUAGGCGGAAAGAUAAGUCAGCCUGUGAAAGUUUGCGGCUCAACCGUAAAAUUGCAGUUGAUACUGUUUUUCUUGAGUGUACAUAAGGUAGGCGGAAUUCGUGGUGUAGCUGUGAAAUGCUUAGAUAUCACGAAGAACUCCGAUUGCGAAGGCAGCUUACCGGGGUACAACUGACGCUGAUGCACGAAAGUGUGGGUAUCAAACA